AUUGAACGCUGGCGGCAGGCCUAACACAUGCAAGUCGAGCGGAUGAAGGGAGCUUGCUCCUGGAUUCAGCGGCGGACGGGUGAGUAAUGCCUAGGAAGCUGCCUUGUAGUGGGGGAUAACGUCCGGAAACGGGCGCUAAUACCGCAUACGUCCUGAGGGAGAAAGUGGGGGAUCUUCGGACCUCACGCUAUCAGAUGAGCCUAGGUCGGAUUAGCUAGUUGGUGGGGUAAAGGCCUACCAAGGCGACGAUCCGUAACUGGUCUGAGAGGAUGAUCAGUCACACUGGAACUGAGACACGGUCCAGACUCCUACGGGAGGCAGCAGUGGGGAAUCUUGGACAAUGGGCGAAAGCCUGAUCCAGCCAUGCCGCGUGUGUGAAGAAGGUCUUCGGAUUGUAAAGCACUUUAAGUUGGGAGGAAGGGCAGUAAGUUAAUACCUUGCUGUUUUGACGUUACCAACAGAAUAAGCACCGGCUAACUUCGUG
rnacentral:rRNA from 1 species